rnacentral:rRNA from 1 species
GACAGAGGGUGCAAACGUUGUUCGGAAUUACUGGGCGUAAAGCGUGUGUAGGCGGCUAUGUAAGUCGGGUGUGAAAGCCCCGGGCUCAACCUGGGAAUUGCAUUCGAGACUGCAUAGCUAGGGUGCGGAAGAGGGAAGCGGAAUUUCCGGUGUAGCGGUGAAAUGCGUAGAUAUCGGAAGGAACACCAGUGGCGAAAGCGGCUUCCUGGUCCAGCACCGACGUUCAGGCACGAAAGCGUGGGGAGCAAACAGG